GAUAAACUGUAUUAUUAAGGAAUUAUGAAUUUGGCCAAAAAACAUUUUUACGAAGUCACUUUUGAUGAACUGUUGUCUGUUGGGAUAACAUAAAUUAUAAUUGAUGCUCACAAGUCACAAUUAUCUUGAAAAGUCAAAUUUGAAUAUUAUUAUAUUAUUAUUAUUAUUUUUAUUGUUAUUAUUAUUAUUACUAUUUGGAUUUCAACGUUUGGAUGAGUAAAAUAAGUUAAAAUAUUGUUCUAAUUUAUCAAGGGCGUAAAAAAAUACUAAAUACAACCUUGCAAUAUACUUACUGUUUUAUUAUACCUAUAAAAAACCAAUUUAUAUUCAAUAAUCCUGCUUUGAUUACCAAAAUCCAAUUAUUUUUGUGGGAUGGUUUUUUUUUAAUAUUAUCGGGAGAUAUAGCAAAAGCUUAUCAAACCAAUUGAAAUAAUAAUAAUAGCAAUAACAAUAUUCGUAAUAAUAAUAACAAAAAUACAUUUUCACCCAUAGACUAUAAAAACGCGUCUCAUUGUUGGCAAAUACACGAACACCAUGGACGUGGUGGCUAAGACUUACAAAAGUGGAGGUGUGUGGGCAUUCUUCAAAGGUUUCUGGCCCAGUACGCUAAGCAUUUUCUUGUUCGCCGGAAUUGAUCUUAUGACUUACGAGCACAUCAAAGAAAAUGAUUCCCAUUUCCACGAGAAGUACGACUACCCGAGGUGGUUCGUUAGCUUUUACUCAGCGGUUAUCUCGAACGCCGUGGGCGUAGUGAUAUGUUAUCCGAUAUCUACGAUCAUCACAAGACUCCAAGUCGACGACGGACGGUCGAACGGAACAGCGGUCCAGUCGGAAAACUGGGACCGGCGGCGGCCGUUCUCGGCCAGGAACUUCCGCAGCGGCCUACUCCUUUACAGAGGCAUCACCGGCAGUCUCGUGAAAAUUUUGCCCUGCUCGUCCAUUGGCUACGUGGUCUACGAAGAGCUGUGCAAGUCGUUGGGCGUGCGAAUGACGUGAAACUUAUUGACAUUUCUCGAUACGGGAUAAGAAUGACACCACACGCACUCAUUGCACGGCAUUCUCACGUCUCCGCCAACGUUUUUACACGCAUUCGUCGUAUACAUUAUUUCGAAUCCAUAUACGAUACAAUGAACAGUGUAUAAUGUCAUUAUACUCAUUAUAUUUUUUUUAUUGCAUCGCGAGCAUUUUUCACUGUAUUGUUUGUUUAACAUUUUGAAAAUGGUGCCGAUUGUACGUACUAUCUGUAAAUUCACUGCAAACACACAAACUUUAAAUAAUGUUUUAAAGUAUAAGUGUGUAUUUUAUAUAGCCCUGUAAAAAAAAACUGUCAAUAUGUAAUUAAAACAUUAGAGAUUCUUGAAAUCGUAAAAUUGUAAGAUAAUAUGUUUAAAAAAUUAAAUAUAACUUUGUUUAUAGUUAUUCCUGCAAUCUA
rnacentral:misc_RNA from 1 species